AGUGCAGGUCCUCGUCUUGGCCUGAGCAAUCACGUCCGUUGUAUCUGGGGCGGACUGUGAGGCGGUGGAACGCAGAGGUGUCCUCUGCGUGGACAAAGUUCAGAUCUGCCUCGGCCGGGUUGCUAGAUUCGCAUCCAUUGUGUUCUUGUAACCUCCAGCCGCAGCCCAGCCGAGCCACGUCAGGCUCGGAGCCACAGCGGACCUCAAGCGGGAAGAGAGCCAUUUGCUUGCCUCGUGAGACCCGUAUGCGUCUUAAUACCUCGCGUUCGUCCUGCCCCAUUGCCACAUAUUUUACACUUUACUGACUGAGCGCCUGGUGUAGGGAUUUGGAAUUGAAGAUUGAGCUCCUUCCCAAGCUUUGCCACUAACUGCUUGUGUUAUCUUGGUCUGAAAAGGAAUGUGUUUCCAGAGGGACCUCGUCGGUGUGGAACCAAGAGGAAGAAGAGUUAGCAAGAGUCUGGCACCCUCCUGGCACUGCCCAGACAGAGCAACGCUGGAUGUGUGGGGCAAGCAUUCCUGACACUCGAAGAUCUCCCUUAAGACUCUGUUUCUGUUCCUUGUAUACCCUCUUCACCAAGAACUUUCUGAUUAGCAAUCUAGCUUCCCGGGAACACUAACAGAGCAAGACGUGUCUGUCACAGGGACAUGAGCAUUCCAGUGACCCUUAACCAUAAACACGUGACCCAG